AACGUAGGAGACAAACGUUAUCCGGAGUUACUGGGCGUAAAGGGCGUGCAGGCGGUCUGUUAAGUCUGGCGUGAAAGCUCUCGGCUCAACCGGGAGGGGCUGUCCGAUACUGUCGGGCUUGAGGGCAGUAGAGGGUGGUGGAAUUCCGGGUGUAGUGGUGAAAUGCGUAGAUAUCCGGAGGAACACCAGUGGCGAAAGCGGCCACCUGGACUGUACCUGACGCUCAAACGCGAAAGCUAGGGGAGCGAACGGG
rnacentral:rRNA from 1 species